UCGAGGAUCUUUAGCAAUGGGCGAAAGCCUGACUAUGCGACGCCGCGUGAGGGAUGAAGGUUUUCGGAUCGUAAACCUCUUUCGAUAGGGAAGAAAAUUUUUACCAUAACAUGGUAGAAACUGACGGUACCUAGAGAAGAAGCCACGGCCAACUCCGUGCCAGCAGCCGCGGUAAUACGGAGGUGGCGAGCGUUACUCGGAUUCAUUGGGUGUAAAGGGCAGGUAGGUGGCUAUGUAAGUUGGGGGUGAAAUCCUUUGGCUCAACCAAAGAACUGCCUUCAAAACUGCAUAGCUUGAGGCUGAGAGAGGAGAGCGGAAUUCCCGGUGUAAGGGUGAAAUCUGUAGAUAUCGGGAGGAACACCAGUGGCGAAAGCGGCUCUCCGGUUCAGACCUGACACUA
rnacentral:rRNA from 1 species